UAGAGGAAGUAAAAGUCGUAACAAGGUUUCCGUAGGUGAACCUGCGGAAGGAUCAUUACCGAGUGAGGGCCCUCUGGGUCCAACCUCCCACCCGUGUUUAUUUUACCUUGUUGCUUCGGCGGGCCCGCCUUAACUGGCCGCCGGGGGGCUUACGCCCCCGGGCCCGCGCCCGCCGAAGACACCCUCGAACUCUGUCUGAAGAUUGUAGUCUGAGUGAAAAUAUAAAUUAUUUAAAACUUUCAACAACGGAUCUCUUGGUUCCGGCAUCGAUGAAGAACGCAGCGAAAUGCGAUACGUAAUGUGAAUUGCAAAUUCAGUGAAUCAUCGAGUCUUUGAACGCACAUUGCGCCCCCUGGUAUUCCGGGGGGCAUGCCUGUCCGAGCGUCAUUUCUGCCCUCAAGCACGGCUUGUGUGUUGGGCCCCGUCCUCCGAUCCCGGGGGACGGGCCCGAAAGGCAGCGGCGGCACCGCGUCCGGUCCUCGAGCGUAUGGGGCUUUGUCACCCGCUCUGUAGGCCCGGCCGGCGCUUGCCGAUCAACCCAAAUUUUAUCCAGGUGACCUCGAUCAG
rnacentral:rRNA from 1 species